GCCCCACUUAUGGAAAACGAUAUAUCUAAAUCCUGAUUAAUAUAUUAUUAACCAGGAUGAAUGUAGUAAUGUCAACUCGCCCCACUUAUGGAAAAAGAUGUUAUCCCGUUGUAUAUAAGUUAAAUUCCGUGAAUAUUACUCCUGUCAACUCGGCCCACUUAUGGAAAAAGAUGCUGUCCCAUUGAAAACCUUAUAGAAACUUCUUAUAUUAUUCCUUUUUUUUUAAUAUAGCAGUAAGAAGUGAGUAUUAAUAUUUCGGUAACGUGAAUGUCAACUAGCCCCCUUUAUGAAUAGUACAAGUAUGAAUAGAAAACACGACACA
rnacentral:lncRNA from 1 species